UACGUAGGGUGCGAGCGUUGUCCGGAAUUAUUGGGCGUAAAGGGCUCGUAGGCGGUCUGUCACGUCGGGAGUGAAAACCCGGGGCUCAACCCCGGCCUGCAUUCGAUACGGGCAGACUAGAGUUCGGUAGGGAGUCUGGAAUUCCUGGUGUAGCGGUGAAAUGCGCAGAUAUCAGGAGGAACACCGGUGGCGAAGGCGGACUCUGGCCGAUACUGACGCUGAGGAGCGAAGCGUGGGAGCGAACAGG
rnacentral:rRNA from 1 species